rnacentral:rRNA from 1 species
AAGGGGAGGGACNGACGGGUGAGUAACUCGUGGGAACCAAGAAAAUGGUACGGAACAACCCAGGGAAACUUGGGCUAAUACCGUAUACGCCCCUAGGGGGAAAGAUUUAUCGCCAUUGGACGGGCCCGCGUUGGAUUAGCUAGUUGGUGGGGUAACGGCCUACCAAGGCAACGAUCCAUAGCUGGUCUGAGAGGAUGAUCAGCCACACUGGGACUGAGACACGGCCCAGACUCCUACGGGAGGCAGCAGUGGG